rnacentral:lncRNA from 1 species
GCUGGUGUGUACUGGCAUUACUGGGACAUGUGUUCUCUCCAGAGCUGAGUCAGGAAAUGACACCAGGCUUAUGUAGUAUAAAAGCACGACCCAAGAAUGGUGUAAGCUGCAGAGCUGGGGCUGUGGAUUGGUGUCAGUGUCACAAGUGCUUCCAGGUAAUGCUGAGUCUCAGCAACUUCGUGAGAGCUGGAUGUGAUGGGCUUGUGCCACUGCAAAAGAAUGGUUCCUUAUGUUGAACAAUGCUGAAAUGCAUGCAGGGUUCAGAAGACAGACUUGUAUCUGCUUUAAGCUUGGAAACUGGAAAAAAAAAUUAGAAAUGAUGACUGCAUAGAUUUCCUGAUUCUUUCCGGCAUGAUUUUCACAAAGAGCUCAGGAAGUGUUAUGCUUAAAAAAGAAAUACAAAACUCAUUGCAGAACCCGUUGAAGCUUUUAUGGCCUGUAGGCUGUCAGCAUUUCCAUCGUGGUUCCCUGCAUGCAGAAGUUGACAAUUCAGCUAUAAAUAAUCACUGCUGGUUGGAAAUUGGGAAAACUCCUUUCCUGGGAGUUACAGACGUGGUCCCUGCCAAGGCAGUAUAUCUCAGUGAUACAGAGACGGACCGAGAUUGUUUCCCAUUUCCCAUCAACAGCCAAGGGAUGUGGCAAAGGAAUAUUACAGGGCCCUGA